AAGUCGUAACAAGGUAACCGUAGGUGAACCUGCGGUUGGAUCAUUACUGAAAAAAGGGUCCGUGGUUUUGAAGACGCUUCGGUGUUUGAAGAGCCCGGGUUUUUUACCCCCUUGUGAACCUAUAAAUGUAUUUUGGCAGUCCUCCAAAAGGAGACUUGUGCCUGUCUAGUAAUAGAUGGAACCUUGUCUCUUGUUGGGACUGUCAAUACUUGUAAAAACGAAGUAUCUUAUGUAUUAUCAUGUCUCCAACAGAUUUAUUUUGUAAAUCUUGUUUAAAAAAUUUAAACAACUUUUGACAACGGAUCUCUUGGCUCUC
rnacentral:misc_RNA from 1 species